rnacentral:lncRNA from 1 species
GUGAUGUCAUGUGCUCUUAGAGCCAGGCUCAGAGUUUUCAAAACCAGACCUGGUCCCUGGAGAGGCCCCACUGCAGGCUCCUCCAUCGCCUACUCUGAACACUGCCCAGAGUGAAGGGUCUGCACACCAUUCUUCUUGCACUCAGCCUCCAGUGGUCACCCCAGCAUGUGACACGGUAAGUAACUCCCAGGACACUACUCGUGGCAGUGUCAGAAGCCACCAACCCUGAUUUGAGUAAAUGCACGUGGUCGCGGUGUAGAAGGAGCGGCCACGCAGCUGAGACAUGGUGUCACAGGGGUCAGGAGGACAGUGGCGUGCCACCUGAGCCCAGUGAGUCCUUGAGGCAGAGCCAGGGCUCAUGAGGAUGUGUGGGCCCUGAAAGGGGAGC